UACGUAGGGGGCAAGCGUUGUCCGGAUUUAUUGGGCGUAAAGAGCGUGUAGGCGACCAGACAGGUCCGUUGUGAAAACUCGAGGCUCAACCUCGAGACGUCGGCGGAAACCAUCUGGCUAGAGUCCGGAAGAGGAGAGUGGAAUUCCUGGUGUAGCGGUGAAAUGCGCAGAUAUCAGGAGGAACACCGGUGGCGAAGGCGGUUCUCUGGGCAUGAUCUGACGCUGAGGAGCGAAAGUGUGGGGAGCGAACAGG
rnacentral:rRNA from 1 species